ACUGGACUCAGCACUGGCACAGAGGCAGCACAGCUAUGUGGGAAGAACACAGGCUGGUCUGCAGGUGUCUAGAUUUGGAUCCUAGCUCUGUUACUUACUACUUUGUGACUUUGAGCAAAUUCACGUCUCUGAAAGGACCAGAGACCAUGCUGGGAAGCCUGGCUGCUCUUUGAGGACUGAGAUGAACUUAGCAAUGCAGAGAAGAACAAAGAGAGGCUUGUGCUCACCGUGUUCCAGAGGGAUCACCGUGUUCCCUUUGUUCAUUUGAGGACAUGAAUACAACUAUGGUCUUUGGACAAAAGGCAUAUGCCAGGCAGUAUGAAUGGUCUCUCUUGUCUGUGCAAUUAGUAUGUAAGAGCACGUGAACUGGUGCCUGGGACCUCUACCUGUUUUAGUAUGAUAGCACCACAGUAAAGGGCCUGGACUUUGUAUGAGCUUGGGAAAAUCAUGUCACCUCUGCAAGUCUUGGUUUCCCUGGGUGUUAAAUGUCAAUUUAAGUAAAAUGCUAUCUACUUUGUUUUGGAGACUUUCUAUGAGAAUCUGAUAAACUAUAACCUGUGAAAGAGUUUCAAAAGUUGUAAAAGAUUGAAGGGAAACUGAGAUUCAGUGAGACAAGGACAUUUGUUCAAAUAAAUCUCGUAACUCUGAAGAGGCCUGGAUCUGAGAAGAAUGGGUGCCAGGUAGUCUGACUGGGCUAGUUUUGCCCCAUCAUGGCCCUGUGACAUCCGUUCUGCCUCCCAGCUAGACUGGACUCCCCCAGACCAGGAACUGUGUCCUGGCUCUUCCUAGCACCCAGCUCAGGGAGGGCUAUCAAGGCUGCUGAAAGCAGCUCAGUGAAUGUCAGUCUCUGAGCAGAUGGGAAGAACUGAGGAUGAAUUUGUCCACUUAAAUGGGAAUGGAAGCUUAAGAAUCAAGAUAUUUGAAGAUAAGGGAAACUGAGGUACAGAGGAGGGGAAGAGCCAUGAUUGACUUCAUGCAACUCAUCAGGGAGGGCACCCAGAUUUACACGUGGAUCUGUGUCACUACAAAGCAGUGCCCUUGACUUAACACUCCAUCACUUUCCAUACAAGCUUCAAACUGAACUCCACCUUCAUUAGCUUGGUGAGCGCAGACCGCUGAACUCUUCUAACAUCUGUCUUAGAGGUUAUGUGUUGGCUGCUGCGUUCAGAGCUAUCCUAAAAGUAACUGAAACAAGGGAUUUUUGACUCCAUGGCUAAACAGUUUCUGGGGAGCAGACCUUGAUUCUACCAUUACUUAGAAAACAAAUCAAAUUAGAGUCAGACUAGUGAUGUUGUCAGAACUUUUCAAACAUAAAGACCCAUGAAUGGACAUGUACACUUGGGAUCAAAAGCACUCUCCUCUUCCAAACAGCAGUCUACACUUGGCCUUUUGAGAGGCUGAGCUAUUGCCAAGGACUAUUUAGAUGGAAGAUUUGAUUGUUGGUCAAGGAGACACUGAAGAAGAGAUAAGAUGGUGUACUGGAAUGGAAGGAAGGCUCUGGACAUCAGAACUUUGGGCCACUGUACUGCUGUGUAAAUUUGCGAAACCUACUUAAUCCUUAUGGACUGUUUCCUCAUCUGGAAAAUGAGUUAAAUGAGAUCCAUUUUAUAAAAUUGUUGUAAUGAUUAUAUAAGUAAACACAUAGUAAUAUUAUUUGAUUUUAUUAUUAUUAUUAUGACUUGUCACUCAAAGCAUUUAGCUUUGGUGUCUCUAAUAUUCAGUACUCACAUUUAUGUUCAAAUUUGGAUGCUAGGUAGAAAUGAAGACUUUGUAUCUGCCACCAGAGAAGGCUAUUUAUUAUUUGUCAUUGCCUGUCACGAACUCACAAAGAUAGUAUUUGCCUAUCCAAAGGUAUCUAAUUCCUCAGUUUCUUAUGUGACUAUAAAGGGGCCUACUUUGAUCUUACCAUGAACUCAAAUCCUUUCGAAAUUUCAAUUUGUC
rnacentral:lncRNA from 1 species